AUCACACUUAGAUACACCAAGCAGCUCUGUGAAUGAGAUCUCUCUACCCCCACCCUCAAUCUCCUUGCUUCCAGACUGACUCUCACCUUAUUUACUUUCACAGGAGAGGGGGAACAGGUGGAAGUCGAUGGCUGGGACUGCAGUUUCCCCAGGGAUGCCUCAAGACUGGAGCCCAGCAUAAAUGUGGAGCCCCUCAUUCGCACAGCUCGAGGGGAGUGCGGGGGCAGCACCGCGCGUGGCACCUGGCACCCGCGCAGAGUUCCUGAAUGGCAGAGCGGUGGGUGGCUCCAGCAGUACUGAGAAGAGCCAGGUUUGCCUCCACAUUCUUCCUGUCGCCUCAGAUUUAUGCGCACAAGGACGGAGAUUUGCGUUCAGCGUUCUUCAUUCUCUCCUUUAAACGAGGAGAGUUCAUCCCGUUCUUAAACUGGCGCCACUGGAUACCGAACUGUCGUACGUAUGUCUUCUGUUUCGUCCUCGCUUUCCGGCUGCUGUUUCUCCACGGCUCUCCUCUUUCCCCCUCCCUUCUCUCCCGGGCGGCUUACUUUG
rnacentral:lncRNA from 1 species